rnacentral:rRNA from 1 species
AUUCCAGCUCCAAUAGCGUAUAUUAAAGUUGUUGCAGUUAAAAAGCUCGUAGUUGGAUUUCUGUUACUGGAGGGGUGGUCCGCUUCACGGCGAGCACUGCUAUCCUCUGUGACAUCCUCUCAAAGUUUUAGCGGGUGCACUUAGUUGUGUGGCUGUUGAAUUUGGGAUCUUUACUUUGAAAAAAUUAGAGUGUUCAAAGCAGGCUAUUUGCUUGAAUAUAUUAGCAUGGAAUAAUGGAAUAGGACUUUGGUUCUAUUUUGUUGGUUUCUAGGACUGAAGUAAUGAUUAAUAGGGACAGUUGGGGGCAUUAGUAUUUAAUUGUCAGAGGUGAAAUUCUUGGAUUUAUGAAAGACUAACUACUGCGAAAGCAUUUGCCAAGGAUGUUUCCAUUA